rnacentral:lncRNA from 1 species
UUUUUGUAGCAUAAAAGCUAAAUAAAUUCAUACAUACUGUAAUAUAGAUAACCAAAGUAUAAAAUUUAAUUUACAAUGACACAUGGGCCCAUGAACGACCAAAAGUAUCAAAAGCGGUAAACCUACAAUUUUUGAGGAUGCAAGUCCAACUGUAGCCCUCAACAAAGUAAGCUAUCUACCGACUAUCCUGAGCCUGAAAUGGGUGGAAAUGAGGGUGAUGAGAUUAUAUAAUCCCAAUGAGUAAACAAAUACCAUCUAAAAUAUCUAAAGCUGAGCAAAUGGAGAUAGAUAAAAAUAGAUCAUCAUAUUGUAAUUCAUCACCUUUCAACUCAUUUCAACCAAAUAAAAUCAAUUCAUAUAAAUCGAGUAAUCAACAUGGCUUAUGAAUUUCUUAAAACUUUGGCUCGUGCCAAAAUCAUUCUCAUACUCAGUUAUCAAGG